UUGCUUAGGCAGCAAAUAUACUAAAAUUGGAAUGACACAAAGAUAAACAUGGUCCCUGAGCAAGAAUGACAUGCAAAUAUGUGAAGUGUUCCAUAUAGAA
rnacentral:snRNA from 1 species